CCUACGGGUGGCAGCAGUGGGGGAUAUUGCACAAUGGGGGAAACCCUGAUGCAGCGACGCCGCGUGGGUGAAGAAGCGCCUCGGCGCGUAAAGCCCUGUCAGCAGGGAAGAAAAUGACGGUACCUGAAGAAGAAGCCCCGGCUAACUACGUGCCAGCAGCCGCGGUAAUACGUAGGGGGCAAGCGUUAUCCGGAGUUACUGGGUGUAAAGGGGGCGCAGACGGCGAUGCAAGCCAGGAGUGAAAGCCCGGGGCCCAACCCCGGGACUGCUCGUGGAACUGCGUGGCUAGAGUGCAGGAGGGGCAGGCGGAAUUCCUGGUGGAGCGGUGAAAUGCGUAGAUAGCAGGAGGAAGACCGGGGGCGAAGGCGGCCUGCUGGACUGCAACUGACGUUGAGGCCCGAAAGCGUGGGGAGCAAACAGGAUUAGAUACCCGGGUAGUC
rnacentral:rRNA from 1 species